UUUAACAAUUUGUGUGAUACAUCUGAAAAUAAGUAUUUGAACACCAACAUUAAUAUUUGGUAGAGUAGCCUUUGUUUGCAAUUACAGAGGUCAAACGUUUCCUGUAGUUCUUCAGCAGGUUUGCACAGACUGCAGGAGGGAUUUUGGCCCACUCCUCCAGACAGAUCUUCUCUAGAUCAGUCAGGUUUCUGGGCUGUCGCUGAGCAACACAGACUUUCAGCUCCCUCCAUAGAUUUUCAAUUGGAUUUAGGUCUGGAGACUGGCUAGGCCAUUCCAGAACCUUGAUAUGGUUCUUACAAAGCCACUUCUUGGGUUUCCUGGCUGUGUGCUUUGGGUCAUUGUCAUGUUGGAAGAUCCAGCCACGACUCAUCUUCAAUGAUCUGACUGAGGGAAGGAGGUUUUUGGCCAAAAUCUCACAAUACAUGGCUACAGUCAUCCUCUCCUUGAUACAGUACAGUCGUCCUGUCCCAUGAGCAGAAAAACACCCCCAAAGCAUGAUGCUACCACCCCCAUGCUUCACAGUCGGGAUGGUGUUCUUGGGAUGGUACGCAUCAUUCUUCUUCCUCCAAACACGAAUAGUGGAAUUAUGACUAAAAAGUUCAAUUUUGAUCUCGUCUUUCUCCCAUGACUCCUCUGGAUCAUCCAAAUGAUCAUUGGCAAACUUAAGACGGGCCUUAACAUGUGCUGGUUUAAGCAGGUGAACCUUCCGUGCCAUGCAUGAUUUCAAACCAUGACGUCUUAGUGUAUUACCAACAGUGACCAUGGAAACAGUGGUCCCAGCUCUUUUCAGGUCAUUGACCAAGUCCUGCCGUGUAGUCUUGGGCUGAUUCCUCACCUUUCUUAGCAUCAUUGUGACCCCACGAGGUGAUAUCUUACAUGGGGCUCCACUCCGAUUGAGAUUGACCGUCAUGUUUAGCUUCUUACAUUUUCUAAUGGUUGCUCCAACAGUGGACCUUUUUUCACCAAGCUGCUUGGCAAUUUCACCGUAGCCCUUUCCAUCCUUGUGGAGUUGUACAAUUUUGUCUCUGGUGUCUUUGGACAGCUCUUUGCUCUUAGCCAUGCUGAAUGUUUGGGUCUUACUGAUUGUAUGGGGUGGACUGGUGUCUUUAUGCAGCUAACAACUUCACACAGGUGCAUCUGAUUCAGGAUAAUACAUUGGAGUGGAGGAGGACUUUUAAAGGCGGACUAACAGGUCUUCGAGGGUCAGAAUUCUAGCUGAUAGACAGGUUAUCUCUCAUCCAGUGGACAUGCACCUACCCUGAAAAUUUCAGACCCCUCCAUGAUUUCUAAGUGGGAGAACUUGCAAAAUAGCUGGGUGUUCAAAUACUUAUUUUCUUGACUGUAUAUAAAUCUAGUACAUUAUUA